GCGAAGCCUCAUCGCCCGUAUUAGUGCGCCGACCUGGAAAGCCGCCAGGAGCCCUGCUCGCGGGUCCGCCCCCGCCCGCCGCCGCCGCGCGCCCAGAGCCGCUUGGGGAGCCCGCGAGGAGGGGGAGCGCGGCCCGCCCCGCGGCCACGUGCGCGGAAGCCCGCGGCGGGGGCGCCUCGGGGACGUCCCGGCGCGGGGUCUCCCGGGCCCCCGGGCGGCGUCCUCGUCCUCCCGUGGGACCCGACUCCCCUUGUCCGCGGCUCGGCCCCCUCGGCUGGGCGGCGGGGGCACCUCGCGUCUCUCUCCCCGAGACGUCCUGCCUCCCCACCUGGAGCCCGAGGCCGGAGUACCGUUUCCAGAACUCGAGGUGUGGGACCGACAAAUCGGUUUGGAAACCGCCACCCCCAACAAGUGGCUCUUCCCGAAGUGUUUCUGGGCCCCGAGGGUGGCUGUUCCUUGCUGUUUGUCUCUUACUUGCUUUGCAAGAGUAAAGGGGGUCAUUACCCCCAACCGACAGCGCCAGAGUAACUGGUUUGCCCCUGCAUAAGCGGAUGAAAAUCGACUCACUCAGAGUGGUGAGUGGUGGUUAAAACUAGGUGCAUUAGACAAGGCAGAGGACUCAACGCAGAGCAAGAAGCCAUAACCUCUGCAGUGCUGGCUUGGGCUUCCAGCACAGUCUUUAUAGGUUCUCCGAGUUCUCUGGGCUCUUGGCAGGACUUGCUUCUGCAGAUUCUUUGAAGCAGGUGACACAGGAGACACGGAUUCGAUCCCUGGUUUGGGAAGAUCCCCUGGAGGAGAGCAUGGCAGCCCACUUCAGUGUUCUUGCCUGGAAAAUUCCACAGACAGAGGAGCUUGACGGGCUACAGUCCAUGGGAUCACAAGGAGUCGGACAGGACUGGCAGUUCUAGAAGUCCAAGAUCAGGGUGUUGGCAGAUUCGGUGUGUGGACAGGCUGAGCCCACUAGACCAGCAAGUUGCCUGGCUGGAAGAUGCAAGUUUCUCCCUGGUGUUUAUCAACAGAUGACUUCUGAUGGAAUGAAUCCUAGGAGAAAUAGAAGAGAUAUUCAAAACUCUUUAAAUGAGACUAAAAGAACAUCUCUGAAAGCAUUUUCUGUACAAAUAUAAUGUUUCAUGUUCAUACAGAAUUUAAGAUUAAUAAAGGAUCUUAAUCGUUGUCUGUGCUUCUAUCAUACUGCAUAUUGUUUGUGGUCAUGUAUGGAUGUGAGAGUUGGACUGUGGAGAAGUCUGAGCGCCAAAGAAUUGAUGCUUUUGAACUGUGGUGUUGGAGAAGACUCUUGAGAGUUCCUUGGACUGCAAGGAGAUCCAACCAGUCCAUUCUGAAGGAGAUAAGCCCUGGGAUUUCUUUGGAAGGAAUGAUGCUAAAGCUGAAACUCCAGUACUUUGGCCACUUUAUGUGAAGAGUGACUCAUUGGAAAAGACUGAUGCUGGGAGGGAUUGGGGGCAGGAGGAGAAGGGGACGACAGAGGAUGAGACGGCUGGAUGGCAUCACUGACUCGAUGGACAUGAGUCUGAGUGAACUCUGGGAGUUGGUGAUGGACAGGGAGGCUUGGCGUGCUGCGAUUCAUGGGGUCACAAAGAGUCGUACACAACUAAGCAACUGAAU
ensembl:lncRNA